rnacentral:rRNA from 1 species
CUGAGAGGACGACCAGCCCACACUGGAACUGAGACACGGUCCAGACUCCUACGGGAGGCAGCAGUGGGGAAUUUUGGACAAUGGGCGCAAGCCUGAUCCAGCAAUGCCGCGUGCAGGAUGAAGGCCUUCGGGUUGUAAACUGCUUUUGUACGGAACGAAACGGUCCUUUCUAAUACAAGGGGCUAAUGACGGUACCGUAAGAAUAAGCACCGGCUAACUACGUGCCAGCAGCCGCGGUAAUACGUAGGGUGCGAGCGUUAAUCGGAAUUACUGGGCGUAAAGCGUGCGCAGGCGGUUAUAUAAGACAGAUGUGAAAUCCCCGGGCUCAACCUGGGACCUGCAUAUGUGACUGUAUAGCUAGAGUACGGUAGAGGGGGAUGGAAUUCCGCGUGUAGCAGUGAAAUGCGUAGAUAUGCGGAGGAACACCGAUGGCGAAGGCAAUCCCCUGGACCUGUACUGACGCUCAUGCACGAAAGCGUGGGGAGCAAUCAGGAUUAGAUACCCUGGUAGUCCACGCCCUAAACGAUGUCAACUGGUUGUUGGGUCUUCACUGACUCAGUAACGAAGCUAACGCGUGAAGUUGACCGCCUGGGGAGUACGGCCGCAAGGUUGAAACUCAAAGGAAUUGACGG